rnacentral:snRNA from 1 species
AAAUCUCGUGUGGAACAA